CACGCCGUAAACGUUGAGGACCUGGUGGCGGGGGCAUACCCCGUCGCCGAAGCAAACGCGAUGAGUCCUCCGCCUGGGUACUACGUUCGCAAGAAUAAAACUUAAAGGAAUUGACGGGGGCCCGCACAAGCAGUGGAGCAUGUGGUUCAAUUCGUGGCUACGCGGAAAACCUUACCUGGGUUUGACAUCCCUGUAAAGGACCUGGAGACAGGUAGAUAGUUAUACAGGUGAACGGUGG
rnacentral:rRNA from 1 species